rnacentral:rRNA from 1 species
GAGGAAUAAGCAUCGGCUAACUCCGUGCCAGCAGCCGCGGUAAUACGGGGGAUGCAAGCGUUAUCCGGAAUCAUUGGGCGUAAAGCGCCUGUAGGUUGUUUAAUAAGUCUGUUGUUAAAGACUAGGGCUUAACCCUAGGAAAGCAAUGGAAACUACUAGACUAGAGUAUGGUAGGGGUAGAGGGAAUUUCUAGUGUAGCGGUGAAAUGCGUAGAUAUUAGAAAGAACACCGGUGGCGAAGGCGCUCUACUGGACCAUUACUGACACUCAGAGGCGAAAGCUAGGGUAGCAAAAGGGAUUAGAUACCCCUGUAGUCCUAGCCGUAAACGAUGGAUACUAGAUGUUGCGUUUUUAUGCAGUAUCCUAGCUAACGCGUUAAGUAUCCCGCCUGGGGAGUACGCUCGCAAGGGUGAAACUCAAAGGAAUUGACGGGGGCCCGCACAAGCGGUGGAGCAUGUGGUUUAAUUCGAUGCAACGCGAAGAACCUUACCAAGGCUUGACAUACUACAGAUCUCUUUGAGAAAGGAGAGUGCCUUCGGGAAUGUAGAUACAGGUGGUGCAUGGCUGUCGUCAGCUCGUGUCGUGAGAUGUUGGGUUAAGUCCCGCAACGAGCGCAACCCUUAUUUUUAGUUACCAAUUUUUUGGGUUUUCUAGAGAGACUGCCGGUGACAAACCGGAGGAAGGUGAGGAUGACGUCAAGUCAGCAUGCCCCUUAUGCCUUGGGCUACACACGUGCUACAAUGGCUAAGACAAAGAGUUGCGAACUUGCGAAAGUCAGCUAAUCUCAUAAACUUAGCCUAAGUUCGGAUUGUAGGCUGCAACUCGCCUGCAUGAAG